CCUACGGGUGGCUGCAGUGAGGAAUAUUGGUCAAUGGGCGGAAGCCUGAACCAGCCAAGUCGCGUGAGGGAAUAAGGCCCUACGGGUCGUAAACCUCUUUUGCCGGGGAGCAAGGGCGGGGACGUGUCCCGGCCCGGAGAGUACCCGGAGAAAAAGCAUCGGCUAACUCCGUGCCAGCAGCCGCGGUAAUACGGAGGAUGCGAGCGUUAUCCGGAUUUAUUGGGUUUAAAGGGUGCGUAGGCGGUAUUUUAAGUUAGUGGUAAAACGUCGGGGCUUCACCUUGAUUGGCCAUUAAAACUGGAGUACUAGAGUACAGACGAGGUAGGCGGAAUAAGUUAAGUAGCGGUGAAAUGCUUAGAUAUAACUUAGAACCCCGAUAGCGAAGGCAGCUUACCAAACUAUAUCUGACGUUGAGGCACGAAAGCGUGGGUAGCAAACAGGAUUAGAUACCCUAGUAGUC
rnacentral:rRNA from 1 species